rnacentral:rRNA from 1 species
UACGGAGGGUGCGAGCGUUGUCCGGAAUCACUGGGCGUAAAGGGCGCGUAGGUGGCGGGUCAAGCGUGCGGUGAAAGCUCGGGGCUCAACCCCGAGUCGGCCGUGCGAACUAGCCUGCUUGAGCACUGUAGAGGCAGAUGGAAUUCCGGGUGUAGCGGUGGAAUGCGUAGAGAUCGUAAGGAAGACCAGUGGCGAAGGCGAGUUUCUGGACAGUUACUGACGCUGAGGCACGAAGGCCAGGGGAGCAAACGGG